rnacentral:rRNA from 1 species
GACGAACGCUGGCGGCGUGCUUAACACAUGCAAGUCGAACGGUGAAGCGAGUGCUUGCACUCGUGGAUCAGUGGCGAACGGGUGAGUAACACGUGGGUAACCUGCCCAUCACUCUGGGAUAAGCACUGGAAACGGUGUCUAAUACUGGAUACGACCAACCCUUGCAUGGGGUGUUGGUGGAAAGAUUUAUCGGUGAUGGAUGGACUCGCGGCCUAUCAGCUUGUUGGCGGGGUAAUGGCCCACCAAGGCGACGACGGGUAGCCGGCCUGAGAGGGUGACCGGCCACACUGGGACUGAGACACGGCCCAGACUCCUACGGGAGGCAGCAGUGGGGAAUAUUGCACAAUGGGCGAAAGCCUGAUGCAGCGACGCCGCGUGAGGGAUGACGGCCUUCGGGUUGUAAACCUCUUUCAGCAGGGAAGAAGCGAAAGUGACGGUACCUGCAGAAGAAGCACCGGCUAACUACGUG